UACGUAGGGGGCUAGCGUUGUCCGGAAUCAUUGGGCGUAAAGCGCGCGUAGGCGGCCCGGUAAGUCCGCUGUAAAAGUCAAAGGCUCAACCUUUGAAUGUCAGUGGAUACUGCCGGGCUAGAGUCCGGAAGAGGCGAGUGGAACUCCUGGUGUAGCGGUGGAAUGCGCAGAUAUCAGGAAGAACACCCGUGGCGAAGGCGGCUCUCUGGGACGGUACUGACGCUGAGACGCGAAAGCGUGGGAGCGAACAGG
rnacentral:rRNA from 1 species